UGGGGAAUAUUGGACAAUGGGCGAAAGCCUGAUCCAGCCAUGCCGCGUGUGUGAAGAAGGUCUUCGGAUUGUAAAGCACUUUAAGUUGGGAGGAAGGGUUGUAGAUUAAUACUCUGCAAUUUUGACGUUACCGACAGAAUAAGCACCGGCUAACUCUGUGCCAGCAGCCGCGGUAAUACAGAUGGUGCAAGCGUUAAUCGGAAUUACUGGGCGUAAAGCGCGCGUAGGUGGUUAGUUAAGUUGGAUGUGAAAUCCCCGGGCUCAACCUGGGAACUGCAUUCAAAACUGACUGACUAGAGUAUGGUAGAGGGUGGUGGAAUUUCCUGUGUAGCGGUGAAAUGCGUAGAUAUAGGAAGGAACACCAGUGGCGAAGGCGACCACCUGGACUGAUACUGACACUGAGGUGCGAAAGCGUGGGGAGCAAACAGGAUUAGAUACCCGUGUAGUCCCUGAGCGGGCUGGCAAGGCGCAU
rnacentral:rRNA from 1 species